CCUACGGGUGGCUGCAGUGGGGAAUAUUGCACAAUGGGGGAAACCCUGAUGCCGCGACGCCGCGUGAAGGAAGAAGUAUUUCGGUAUGUAAACUUCUAUCAGCAGGGACGAAAAUGACGGUACCUGCCUAAGAAGCCCCGGCUAACUACGUGCCCGCAGCCGCGGUAAUACGUAGGGGGCAAGCGUUAUCCGGAUUUACUGGGUGUAAAGGGAGCGUAGGCGGUGCAGCAAGUCAGAAGUGAAGGCCCGGGUCUCAACUCCGGGACUGCUUUUGAAACUGUUGAACUAGAUUGCAGGAGAGGUAAGGGGAAUUCCUAGUGGAGCGGUGAAAUGCGUAGAUAUUAGGAGGAACACCAGUGGCGAAGGCGGCUUACUGGACUGUAAAUGACGCUGAGGCUCGAAAGCGUGGGGAGCAAACAGGAUUAGAUACCCGGGUAGUC
rnacentral:rRNA from 1 species